UACGUAGGGUGCGAGCGUUGUCCGGAAUUACUGGGCGUAAAGAGCUCGUAGGUGGUUUGUCGCGUUGUUCGUGAAAACCGGGGGCUUAACCCUCGGCGUGCGGGCGAUACGGGCAGACUUGAGUACUGCAGGGGAGACUGGAAUUCCUGGUGUAGAGGUGAAAUUCGUAGAUAUCGGGAGGAACACCAGUGGCGAAGACGGCGACCUGGACAGAUAUUGACGCUGAGGUGCGAAAGCGUGGGGAGCAAACAGG
rnacentral:rRNA from 1 species